rnacentral:rRNA from 1 species
GGAUUCCUACGGGAGGCAGCGGUAGGGAAUCUUCCACAAUGGACGAAAGUCUGAUGGAGCAACGCCGCGUGAGUGAAGAAGGGUUUCGGCUCGUAAAGCUCUGUUGGGAGUGAAGAAAGAUAGAGGUAGUAACUGGCCUUUAUUUGACGGUAAUUACUUAGACAGUUACGGCUAACUAAGCGCCAGCAGCCGCGGUAAUACGUAGGUGGCAAGCGUUGUUCGGAUUUAUUGGGCGUAAGGCGAGCGCAAG